AGGACGAACGCUGGCGGCGUGCUUAACACAUGCAAGUCGAACGGUGAAGCCUUUCGGGGUGGAUCAGUGGCGAACGGGUGAGUAACACGUGGGCAAUCUGCCCUGCAUUCUGGGACAAGCCUUGGAAACGAGGUCUAAUACCGGAUACGACGCAUCCCCGCAUGGGGUGUGCGUGGAAAGCUCCGGCGAUGCAGGAUGAGCCCGCGGCCUAUCAGCUUGUUGGUGGGGUAAUGGCCUACCAAGGCGACGACGGGUA
rnacentral:rRNA from 1 species